rnacentral:rRNA from 1 species
UAGGGAAUCUUCCACAAUGGACGCAAGUCUGAUGGAGCAACGCCGCGUGAGUGAAGAAGAUCUUCGGAUCGUAAAACUCUGUUGUUAGAGAAGAACACGAGUGAGAGUAACUGUUCAUUCGAUGACGGUAUCUAACCNGCAAGUCACGGCUAACUACGUGCCAA